AUUGAACGCUGGCGGCAGGCUUAACACAUGCAAGUCGAGCGGGGUGAUGGUGCUUGCACUAUCACUUAGCGGCGGACGGGUGAGUAAUGCUUAGGAAUCUGCCUAUUAGUGGGGGACAACAUCUCGAAAGGGAUGCUAAUACCGCAUACGUCCUACGGGAGAAAGCAGGGGAUCACUUGUGACCUUGCGCUAAUAGAUGAGCCUAAGUCGGAUUAGCUAGUUGGUGGGGUAGAGGCCUACCAAGGCGACGAUCUGUAGCGGGUCUGAGAGGAUGAUCCGCCACACUGGAACUGAGACACGGCUCAGGCUCCUACGGGAGGCAGCAGUGGGGAAUAUUGGACAAUGGGGGUAACCCUGAUCCAGCCAUGCCGCGUGUGUGAAGAAGGCCUUAUGGUUGUAAAGCACUUUAAGCGAGGAGGAGGCUCUUUUGGUUAAUACCCAAGAUGAGUGGACGUUACUCGCAGAAUAAGCACCGGCUAACUCUGUGCCAGCCGCCGCCGUAA
rnacentral:rRNA from 1 species